rnacentral:rRNA from 1 species
AGAUACAAUGAUAAUCCCUAGAAAUGUUUUCUUGAUUAGAAGGUGGAUGACAGAAGCUAAGCAGGGUCGGACCUGUUUAGUACUUGGAUGGGAAAUCACCUAGGAAGACCAGGUGCUGUAGGCG